GGCUUUGCCACUGUUGGCUGCUGGUCAAAAAGGGCAGGACCUGCGACGGCUCCGUGAAAGUCAACUCUGCGGGCAGGAACUGGAAGUUCUGCCACUUACAGCCUCAGGAUGCAGAGAGAACCGUGAAGCAUGCUUCCCCCAGGUUCCACUGAAGGGCGGGGCAGCGUGACCUCCGAGAUGCCAGCCCCCCGGCCUGCCUCACCUGCCAAUGAUGUGGGCAUCUCCGGUCUCCACAGUCAGCUGUUAAUUUGGAGUGGCCCCUGGAGUCAGUCUCCUACACCAUCCGAGGCCCCACCCAGCACGAGCUACAGCCUCCACCAGGAGGGCCUGGAACCCUCAGCCUGCACUUCC
rnacentral:sRNA from 1 species